UACAGGGGUGCAAACGUUGCUCGGAAUCAUUGGGCGUAAAGCGCACGUAGGCGGUUCGUUAUGUCGGAUGUGAAAGCCCUUGGCUUAACCGAGGAAGUGCAUCCGAAACUGGCGAGCUAGAGUACGAAAGAGGAUCGCGGAAUUCCGGUGUAGAGGUGAAAUUCGUAGAUAUCGGGAGGAACACCGGUGGCGAAGGCGGCGAUCUGGGUCGAUACUGACGCUGAGGUGCGAAAGCGUGGGGAGCAAACAGGG
rnacentral:rRNA from 1 species